UACGAAGGGGGCUAGCGUUGUUCGGAAUUACUGGGCGUAAAGGGCGCGUAGGCGGCCUUCUAAGUCGAACGUGAAAUCCCCGGGCUCAACCCGGGAACUGCGUCCGAUACUGGGAGGCUUGAAUCCGGGAGAGGGAUGUGGAAUUCCAGGUGUAGCGGUGAAAUGCGUAGAUAUCUGGAGGAACACCGGUGGCGAAGGCGGCAUCCUGGACCGGUAUUGACGCUGAGGCGCGAAAGCCAGGGGAGCAAACGGG
rnacentral:rRNA from 1 species